AGCCAGGGGGCGGUUCGCUCCAAAGCGUGACUGCCCCAUUUGGCUGUGUGAUUGGCGGAGGUUCCGGGGUGCUCUUCGUUGAGUGUCCCGGUGCGCCGUCAGGUUUACUUUGAAAAAAUUAGAGUGCUCAAAGCAGGCUUUUCAGGCUUGAAUAUUCGUGCAUGGAAUAAUGGAAUAGGAACUCGUUCCUAUUUUGUUGGUUUUCGGGAAUCGAGUUAAUGAUUAAUAGGGACAAUUCAAACGACAGAGGUGAAAUUCUUGGAUCGUUUGAAGACUAACUACUGCGAAAGCAUUUGCCAAGAGUGUUUUCA
rnacentral:rRNA from 1 species